rnacentral:ncRNA from 1 species
GCAUACCGGCCGCCGGGUCGGUAUGACCAGCGUUUGCCUGCGCACCGUUAGGCCUUUGAAGGUGCGCAGACAGACGCCGGAUUUUU